AUUUCUUCUUUUUUCCUCCAAACCCUUUUUUUCCACCACCUAUUAUCCCUAAUCCACUUCAACCUCCACCUUUGAUUCCUAACCCUUUGCAACCACCACCUUUGAUUCCAAAUCCAUUUCAACCACCAAGUCCACCCUUGAUUCCUAAUCCAUUUCAACCACCAAGUCCACCACUUAUUCCAAAUCCAUUUCAACCUCCUCCAUCAAAUCCACCACUUAUUCCUAAUCCAUUUCAACCUCCCCCAGCAAGUCCUCCACCACUCAUUCCAAAUCCAUUUCAGCCUCCACCAUCAAGUCCACCACCAUCAUUUCCUUUUCCACCAAUAGUAAUACCAGGUUUAACUCCAUCACCACCGCCGCCGCCACCACCAAAAUCAAUUUUUCCUGCUCCCUUACUUCCUUUUCCUCCACUGUUCCCACCACCUCUUAGCCCUGGCUCACCCCCUACUUCUUCAAGUAAUUUCUCUCCUUGAUUAUUAACAUAUUAUUCCUUCUGGUUCUAUUAAUAAAAAACAUUUGGGUCAACAAAAGUUGAUGUAUUUGGACCAAAUUAUUAACAAGUUACAUCAUAUUUUGCUGACCCAAAUGUUUCUUAUAAAUAAGACCAGAUGGAGUAUAUAAUAUUAUAGUUGUAAAUUGCAAUCUGCAGCUGCAACUUAACAGUUUUAGAGGUCUCCACAAC
rnacentral:lncRNA from 1 species